UAGUCCACGCCGUAAACGAUGUCAACUAGCCGUUGGUCGGGUUACCGAUUAGUGGCGCAGCUAACGCAUUAAGUUGACCGCCUGGGGAGUACGGUCGCAAGAUUAAAACUCAAAGGAAUUGACGGAGGCCCGCACAAGCGGUGGAGCAUGUGGUUUAAUUCGAUGCAACGCGAAGAACCUUACCUACCCUUGACAUUGACAGAACCUCGUAGAGAUACUUGGGUGCCUUCGGGCCUGGAAAACAGGUGCUGCAUGGCUGUCGUCAGCCCGUGUCGUGAGAUGUUGGGUUAAGUCCCGUAACGAGCGCAACCCUUGUCCUUAGUUGCCAGCGCGUAAUGGCGGGAACUCUAAGGAGACUGCCGGUGACAAACCGGAGGAAGGUGGGGACGACGUCAAGUCAUCAUGGCCCUUACGACCUGGGCUACACACGUGCUACAAUGGAACGCACAGAGGGCAGCAAACCCGCGAGGGGAGCGAAUCCCACAAAACGUUUCGUAGUCCGGAUUGGAGUCUGCAACUCGACUCC
rnacentral:rRNA from 1 species